rnacentral:rRNA from 1 species
ACGGGGUGCAGCAGGCGCGAAACCCUUGCAAUACACGAAAGUGUGACAGGGCUAUCCCGAGUGCCAUCCGCUGAGGAAGGCUUUUACCCAGUGUAGAUAGCUGGGGGAAUAAGGAGAGGGCAAGACUGGUGUCAGCCGCCGCGGUAAUACCAGCUCUCCGAGUGGUGUGGAUGUUUAUUGGGCCUAAAGCAUCCGUAGCUGGCUGGACAAGUCCCCUGUUAAAUCCACCGAUUUAAUCGUUGGUGUGCGGGGGAUACUGUUCGGCUAGGGGACGGGAGAGGCAGACGGUAUUUCCGGGGUAGGGGUGAAAUCCUAUAAUCCCGGGAAGACCGCCAGUGGCGAAGGCUGUCUGCUAGAACGCGCCCGACGGUGAGGGAUGAAAGCUGGGGGAGCGAACCGGAUUAGAUACCCGGGUAGUCCCAGCUGUAAACGAUGCAGGCUAGGUGUUUGGGCGGCCACGUGCCGCUCUAGUGCCGCAGGGAAGUCGUUAAGCCUGCCGCCUGGGGAGUACGGCCGCAAGGCUGAAACUUAAAGGAAUUGGCGGGGGAGCAC